rnacentral:lncRNA from 1 species
AAGAAGAAAGGGGAAGCAGGUGGAAAAGCAAUUAAAAAAAAAUCAGCAUCUCUCUCUAGCCUAUUAUCUCCUGUUAGACACAGCCCAGAAAAUGAAUAGAGACAAGUCCUGGCUGGGUCUGGGUUCAGAAACAUAAUAGAAGGAUUCAUCUAAUCUGUCGGCCACUGUGGAGGAAGUGAACCUUCUAGAUCCUGCUGACUCAUACAAUGAGUUUUGUGUGGACCAUCAGACAAAAGGGCUGGCUGGUGAAGGUGGCUGUUGUCUGGAAAUUCCUCCCAGCUCUCCUCUAAUUAUGUCAUAAGGACUGGAGGCCCCUUAGCCUGCUUGUGAUAACACGCAAGGAAAUAUGGGCCAACUCUUCACAUGAACACAAGAUAUUUCCAUGCUAGCCUUUUGCAAGUAACAACAGAGAGAGCUCUGUGCAGUUUUCACUGGAAUGCCUGUGGAUUGCUUGUGUCAUAACUGUAAUCUAAAGAGUUGUCCAUUUGUUGAUUCCUUUGUAUUUGUAUUGGUAGAAUUGCCACUAUCAAACCAAGAUCUUUAGCUGCCUUUGUAUCAACUUCUUUGGAGCUUAUGUGAUUUUCCAGAAAAUUUCCAAGGCAUAGUUUUGUCCCUAAGUCCCAUGAAUAUGUAAUAUUUUGUGUCUCUCUAUUAAAAUAGCACUUUUUGUGCAUUCCAUUAACAAA